UGGGGAAUAUUGGACAAUGGGGGGAACCCUGAUCCAGCCAUGCCGCGUGUGUGAAGAAGGCCUUAUGGUUGUAAAGCACUUUAAGCGAGGAGGAGGGUACUGGUAUUAAUACUACCAGGUACUGGACGUUACUCGCAGAAUAAGCACCGGCUAACUCUGUGCCAGCAGCCGCGGUAAUACAGAGGGUGCGAGCGUUAAUCGGAUUUACUGGGCGUAAAGCGUGCGUAGGCGGCUAAUUGAGUCGGAUGUGAAAUCCCCGAGCUUAACUUGGGAAUUGCAUUCGAUACUGGUUAGGUAGAGUGUGGGAGAGGAUGGUAGAAUUCCAGGUGUAGCGGUGAAAUGCGUAGAGAUCUGGAGGAAUACCGAUGGCGAAGGCAGCCAUCUGGCCUAACACGGACGCUGAGGUACGAAAGAAUGGGGAGCAAACAGG
rnacentral:rRNA from 1 species